rnacentral:rRNA from 1 species
GACGAACGCUGGCGGCGUGCUUAACACAUGCAAGUCGAACGAAGAGCGAUGGAAGCUUGCUUCUAUCAAUCUUAGUGGCGAACGGGUGAGUAACGCGUAAUCAACCUGCCCUUCAGAGGGGGACAACAGUUGGAAACGACUGCUAAUACCGCAUACGAUCCAAUCUCGGCAUCGAGACUGGAUGAAAGGUGGCCUCUAUUUAUAAGCUAUCACUGAAGGAGGGGAUUGCGUCUGAUUAGCUAGUUGGAGGGGUAACGGCCCACCAAGGCGAUGAUCAGUAGCCGGUCUGAGAGGAUGAACGGCCACAUUGGGACUGAGACACGGCCCAGACUCCUACGGGAGGCAGCAGUGGGGAAUCUUCCGCAAUGGACGAAAGUCUGACGGAGCAACGCCGCGUGAGUGAUGACGGCCUUCGGGUUGUAAAGCUCUGUUAAUCGGGACGAAUGGUUCUUGUGCGAAUAUGUGCGAGGAUUGAC